rnacentral:rRNA from 1 species
GACGAACGCUGGCGGCGUGCUUAACACAUGCAAGUCGAACGGAAAGGCCCUGCUUUUGUGGGGAGCUCGAGUGGCGAACGGGUGAGUAACACGUGAGUAACCUGCCCUUGACUUUGGGAUAACUUCAGGAAACUGGGGCUAAUACCGGAUAGGAGCUCCUGCUGCAUGGUGGGGGUUGGAAAGUUUCGGCGGUUGGGGAUGGACUCGCGGCUUAUCAGCUUGUUGGUGGGGUAGUGGCUUACCAAGGCUUUGACGGGUAGCCGGCCUGAGAGGGUGACCGGCCACAUUGGGACUGAUACGGCCCAGACUCCUACGGGAGGCAGCAGUGGGGAAUAUUGCACAAUGGGCGGAAGCCUGAUGCAGCAACGCCGCGUGCGGGAUGACGGCCUUCGGGUUGUAAACCGCUUUCGCCUGUGACGAAGCGUGAGUGACGGUAAUGGGUAAAGAAGCACCGGCUAACUACGUG